rnacentral:rRNA from 1 species
CUGGAUGGGACAAAUGCAAUUAU